rnacentral:tRNA from 1 species
GUUUUGGUGACCGAGAGAAUAAGGUGAAAGAUUUUUAAUCUUUUUACAGGGACUAAUCCCCUCCAAAGCA